rnacentral:rRNA from 1 species
CGGGACGGGUGAGUAAUGUCUGGGAAACUGCCUGAUGGAGGGGGAUAACUACUGGAAACGGUAGCUAAUACCGCAUAGCGUCGCAAGACCAAAGAGGGGGACCUUCGGGCCUCUUGCCAUCGGAUGUGCCCAGAUGGGAUUAGCUAGUAGGUGGGGUAAAGGCUCACCUAGGCGACGAUCCCUAGCUGGUCUGAGAGGAUGACCAGCCACACUGGAACUGAGACACGGUCCAG